rnacentral:rRNA from 1 species
CGUGGAGACAGGUGGUGCAUGGCUGUCGUCAGCUCGUGUCGUGAGAUGUUGGGUUAAGUCCCGCAACGAGCGCAACCCUCACCCCUUGUUGCCAUCAGGUCACGCUGGGCACUCUAGGGGAACUGCCCCGGUCAACGGGGAGGAAGGUGGGGACGACGUCAAGUCAUCAUGCCCCUUACGCCCUGGGCUACACACGUGCUACAAUGGCCGGUACAAAGGGAUGCAAGACCGUGAGGUGGAGCUAAACCCAAAAAGCCGGUCUAAGUUCAGAUUGGAGUCUGCAACUCGACUCCAUGAAGGAGGAAUCGCUAGUAAUCGCGCAUCAGCACGGCGCGGUGAAUACGUUCCCGGGCCUUGUACACGCCGCCCGUCACACCACGAAAGCCAGCUGUACUCGAAGUCGCUGAG